CCCAGGCUGGUCGUUUGGCCCCCGCUGGUCGUUUGGCCCCUGACUGUUGAUUUGCCCCUGGUCUGUCGUUUGGCCCCUGGCCUUUGGUUUGGCCCCAGGGUUUGUCGUUUGGCCCCAGACUUGUCGUUUGGCCCCAGGUUGUCGUUUGGCCCCAGGUUUGUCGUCUGGCCCCAGGUUUGUCGUCUGCGCCCCAGGUUUGUCGUCUGGCCCCAGGUGUCGUGUCGCUGGCCCCAGGUUUGUCGUCUGGCCCCAGGUUUGUCGUCUGGCCCCAGGUUUGUCGUCUGGCCCCAGGUUUGUCGUCUGGCCCCAGGUUUGUCGUCUGGCCCCAGGUUUGUCGCCCAUUUCAAGUAGCCGGUUAGACUAUCUUCAGACCUAGACCAGGACUCUGAUGGAGCGGGGUCGCUGCAGCAAAGAGAUGCAGAGGUUGAUGCGUAACGUCUGCCACAUAAGUGGGACGUUCUCAUGAACCUGACGGAGGGGCCGUCCGUCUGUCCGUCCGGGCCCCUAGCGUCCGUCUGACGUACCUAACGCUCAUCCUGCGCCCGCGCCCCCC